GACCCUGGGUGAGUGAGUAGUUUACUUGGGAGGCACGUUGACUAUUGCCUCUUGGGUAAUCUAGGAAACCUUUCAUCUGUCUUUUCAACGCACGCUCAGAGCCUGUUUGCGUGCACUUAGCACCAGGCACACUGGCCAGACACUCAACCCCCAGGUGCAGAACGACAGAGCCCACUCUAGGGGGUGACAUUGAAGGUGACCCGGGGGCCUGAGCAGGACCUGAGCAGAUGAUGAUCUGGAGGAAAACCAUGACCACCGUCCCCAGCAAAAACAAAGUCCCUGUGGAGUUAGGACCCUUCCCCCUCCCGGGCUGCCAGCGAGAAUGGUGGCAUGACCAUAGUCCCCUCGGGAGUUGCGUGAGGUCUGUGCAGUUUCAAAUGGGGAAGACCUUGUAGGAAGUUGUAGUUACAGUGUGAUGAUCAUUUGAGAGCCGCAAGCAACAGAAACUUGAAGGAGCUCAGCCCACUGACGUGUGUGUGCUGAGAAAGGGGAAUGAAGGCCCAGCGGGGGACGGCCUCUCUGCCCGUUCCUCCUUGCCAGCACACCCACCAGGGUCCCCAGGUCUAGGUCUGCACACUGCUCUCCCCACAGGCCACCCUGGGCCAGCAUGCUUGAUGCAGUGGAGCAGUCCACAACACUGGGAAGGGGAACCGGGUGAAUGGGGGAGGCCAGGCUAUUUCCCACCUUGCUCCCAUCCUCCCGACAGCCUGGAAAGGAAUAGGAAAGGGGGGAGACCUUCAUGGGCUGUCCAUGCCGCAGCUUACAUGCUGACCAGAGGCCCGAUGAGCCUCUAGAACGAUUCUCCUCCCUCUCCUUGCCAAGCCCAGCCAGGCAGUCAGCAGCUACAGGCUUGGGAACCUGAAGGGCCUUUGAGAUGCUUAAGCAUCACCUGGUAAUUACUCAGUAUUAAUUAAAAUCCUCACUAGCACCUCCCAUACAGGCUUGGCAAACAGCCAAGAGCUCAGAGCUGCAAAGAACUAAGCUGCCCAUAGCGGAAGCCCUUCAUUUCUUCAUUUCUGUGGUGCAGAGGCCAGUACAAGCGCUAGGCUAGGCAAGCCUGGGGUUGCAAACUGUAGUGUUUCCCUAGAGACACCUGACCCCUGUUGCCUGCUGGCUCCGUGUUGCACACUUUUGGACAAGGUUUACUGACAAAGAAGAAGAAGAAGAAGAAGAAGAAGAAGAUGGCCCAAGUGCUUGGGCCCCUGCACCCAUGUGGGAGACCUGGAAGAAGCUUCUGGCUCCUGGCUUCACCUGGGCACAGCUCCAGCUGUUGCGGCCAUCUGGGGAGUGAACCAGAAGAUGGAAGACCUCUCUCUCUCUCUGCCUCUCCUCUCUGUGUAACUCUGACUUUCAAAUAAAUGGGUCAAUCUUUAAAAAAAAAAAAAAAAA